CUUCCCCUGCGAUGCUCGUGAUUAACAGAUUAGUUGAUGUUCCAACACUACAAAACCGGGUUUCGGGUGGACUCCGUUGUGCAGGGCCCGAAAGGGAAAGCCUGAAGGAGCAACCAUAGAGACCCACUUGAACUUUAGAGGUUCAAAACUUCCUGUUAACACGGCAUUAUUUGUGGGGGAAGC
rfam:Desulfobacca sp. 4484_104 ex4484_104_scaffold_401, whole genome shotgun sequence.